UAAUACGUAGGGGGCAAGCGUUGUCCGGAUUUAUUGGGCGUAAAGAGCGUGUAGGCGGCUUUACAGGUCCGUUGUGAAAACUCGAGGCUCAACCUCGAGACGCCGGUGGAAACCGUAAGGCUAGAGUCCGGAAGAGGAGAGUGGAAUUCCUGGUGUAGCGGUGAAAUGCGCAGAUAUCAGGAAGAACACCCGUGGCGAAGGCGGCUCUCUGGGACGGUACUGACGCUGAGACGCGAAAGCGUGGGGAGCGAACAGGAUUAGAUACCCUGGUAGUCCACGCCGUAAACGAUGGGUGCUAGGUGUGGGCGGUGUCGACUCCGUCCGUGCCGAAGCUAACGCAUUAAGCACCCCGCCUGGGGAGUACGGCCGCAAGGCUA
rnacentral:rRNA from 1 species